rnacentral:lncRNA from 1 species
UAGUUUCCGGGUAGAAGCACUCUUCGCUCAAGAUGUUUUAUGUAGCUUAACCCAGGUAGAACCGUUUUGCCUAGGGGGAUCCAACUCAUAGUUUCCGGGUAGAAGUACUCUUCGCUCAGGGUAUUUUACGUACUUAACCCAGGUAGAACCAUUUCGCUUAGGGGGAUCUAGUUCAUAGUUUCCGGGUAGAAUUACUCUUCGCUCAGGGUGUUUUAUGUAGCUUAACCUAGGUAGAACCGUUUUGCCUAGGGGGAUCCUGCUCAUAGUUCCGGGUAGAAAUACUCUUUGCUCAGGGUGUUUUAUGUAGCCUAACUCACGUAGAACUAUUUCGCCUGGAGGGAUCCAGCUCAUAGUUUCGUUUAGAAGUAAUCUUCUCUCAGGUUGUUUCAUACAGUUUAACUCAAGUAGAACCUUUUUCACCUAGAGGGAUUCAACACUUUAUCAAUAAUACAUGGUGCUAACACCUGAUUCUAUUUCCUUCCAGUAAGAUAGGGUACCGGCCCCUGGUUACAUUUCCUUUUAGUAGUACGGGAUAUCGAUCUCUGGUUACACAAUCAUUCAUUACCAAAUUUUAUCUCUUUUAGCUAGUUUAUACUACUAUUUCUGUCUGCCUUUUCAAUAAAUUAGAUAAUUUACAGAUUUCGCUAAUAACUCACAAAAUUUUUCUAGUGCCAGACUGGGGCAGAAAUUUUUUUGUUCUUUUUUGUUUGUCUUUUAUGGUUUUACAGGCUCGGUCGUAUAGCACAAGUGAAGAUUAAAGCUUGCAGUUUCAGUUUCUCAUAAGAAGGAAGAAGUCUUUCGAUCACAGGAUAGUUGGAGUUAACUUUGAUAAUGUGUCAGUAACCCAGCUUCUCAAGAUUCAUCUUCUCAAUUUCAAAUCAGGAAAGCAAGCAACUGAAAUUGAG